GAUGAACGCUGGCGGCGUGCCUAAUACAUGCAAGUCGAGCGAACAGACGAGGAGCUUGCUCCUCUGACGUUAGCGGCGGACGGGUGAGUAACACGUGGAUAACCUACCUAUAAGACUGGGAUAACUUCGGGAAACCGGAGCUAAUACCGGAUAAUAUAUUGAACCGCAUGGUUCAAUAGUGAAAGACGGUUUUGCUGUCCCUUAUAGAUGGAUCCGCGCCGCAUUAGCUAGUUGGUAAGGUAACGGCUUACCAAGGCAACGAUGCGUAGCCGACCUGAGAGGGUGAUCAGCCACACUGGAACUGAGACACGGUCCAGACUCCUACGGGAGGCAGCAGUAGGGAAUCUUCCGCAAUGGGCGAAAGCCUGACGGAGCAACGCCGCGUGAGUGAUGAAGGUCUUCGGAUCGUAAAGCUCUGUUAUUAGGGAAGAACAAAUGUGUAAGUAACUAUGCACGUCUUGACGGUACCUAAUCAGAAAGCCACGGCUAACUACGUG
rnacentral:rRNA from 1 species